GGGGGCGAUCGGUUUCGACACAGGUCGCGAAGCCUUCGGUGCGUGCAGAGCUGCGGUUUGCUCUUAAAACUGGUCGCAACGCUAUAAUUGCCAACGACAGCAAUUACGCCCUCGCUGCUUAAGCAGUGAGCCCUCCGCCCGGGUUCGUCCGCGGACGCGGUGGCCGCAAGGCCUGCGGGGGGUCGACAAACGCGGAAUCGCGCUGGGUCUGUCCGCUGACCCAGCGUUAAAACAAGCGGACUCGCAUUCUGGGAAUCCUGUCCGUCGGAGUCCCGGAGUGUCAAAGCAAAAAGACGGACUACGCAUGUAGAACCGGGGGUCUAGGUCCUGUGGACGCGGGUUCGAUUCCCGCCGCCUCCACCA
rfam:Acidithiobacillus caldus SM-1, complete genome.